GGACAUAGAUACAAGCUAGCGGCGGAUGGGUGAGUAACGCGUGGGUAACCUGCCCUUAAGUCUGGGAUACCAUUUGGAAACAGAUGCUAAUACCGGAUAAAAGCUACUUUCGCAUGAAAGAAGUUUAAAAGGCGGCGUAAGCUGUCGCUAAAGGAUGGACCUGCGAUGCAUUAGCUAGUUGGUAAGGUAACGGCUUACCAAGGCGAUGAUGCAUAGCCGAGUUGAGAGACUGAUCGGCCACAUUGGGACUGAGACACGGCCCAAACUCCUACGGGAGGCAGCAGUAGGGAAUCUUCCACAAUGGACGCAAGUCUGAUGGAGCAACGCCGCGUGAGUGAAGAAGGUUUUCGGAUCGUAAAGCUCUGUUGUUGGUGAAGAAGGAUAGAGGUAGUAACUGGCCUUUAUUUGACGGUAAUCAACCAGAAAGUCACGGCUAACUACGUGCCAGCAGCCGCGGUAAUACGUAGGUGGCAAGCGUUGUCCGGAUUUAUUGGGCGUAAAGCGAGCGCAGGCGGAUUGAUAAGUCUGAUGUGAAAGCCUUCGGCUCAACCGAAGAACUGCAUCAGAAACUGUCAAUCUUGAGUGCAGAAGAGGAGAGUGGAACUCCAUGUGUAGCGGUGGAAUGCGUAGAUAUAUGGAAGAACACCAGUGGCGA
rnacentral:rRNA from 1 species